rnacentral:misc_RNA from 1 species
GCAUAUGAAAAUGAUUCAUUUCAUUACUUUUAUGAGAAGUACAAAUAAUGAAAUAUAAUCUAAGAUUAUAAGAUAGAAAAGAUACAAGCCAAGAGCCCACAUGCUGUGAGGGAAAUAAAUAGGGUAUGUAGGAGAUAAUUAUAGCAAACCAUAAUAAAUAGGGUAUGUAGGAGAUGAUCACUGCGGCACAUGAACUCAUAAAAUCACGCUCAAUGUCUCCCAAUAAUGGAAUUUAUAUGUCCCUGUCCCUCUUGCAUUCAGGCGGAAGCGUAGGGUAUCUUUUUCUAUCAGUGCAGUAGUUGUAGAUGGUGAACUUCUGACGGACCCACUUGAGCCUUCUGUACUGGAAGGCAUCCAGAUCCUGAAACUCUUUCUGAUCCCACCAUCGCUUCCCUUGGGUGGCACAGAACUUGGCUUCCACGGAUGCCUCACACCCAUCAAUGUGGAAACCCUUGUAGGAGGCUAUAAAAGGAGCCUUGGACCAGUCCGUCUUCUCCAGUCCACCUCUGGUGGCCCAAUCAUCCGCGUUCCACAAACUCGAGUAUAACUUCAUGGGUUGGUUGAACGGAAAUUUUACUCCCAAGUCUUUGCAGUUCUUGAAAACCCUUAUUGGGACGUCAUCCACCAAGAACACAAUCUGAUACAAAUUCCAGAGUACAGAGUAGGAGUGGUAUUGUUUGGUUGGAUCAAACCAGAGGUAAAUCCGCUGCUCUCUGUCUCCUUUACCUCCUGUGAACACAUUUGUUUGCAAAAUAUAUGGCUGCCCAGUCCUGUUCCCCAAGAACUCAAAGUCUAUCUCAUCAUGCUCUGAGUUUUGAGAAGAUAGAUAGAAAGCAGUAACAGUUCCAGCUGAAUCCCCAGGAACCAACUUCAUUUGCAUACUGAAGUGGCCGAACAAGUACGACCCUUUCGAUUGGAAACCAGUGCCAGAGUAUUUAUCCAAGUGGAGCUGAAUCUCAGAGCCUCCGUUGAAGUAUUUAAUGUGUUCAAAUGCCCAUGUAGGCAUAUAGUUCCUGCCGAAUGGCACUGCUACAGGCUUCCUUGGGGCAGCUCCCAUGGUUGCAGAUACCAUUAACAGCAAAGCCAGAGGCAGAGCCCACAGGUGAGAAGCCAUAUUUCUAGGGCGUAGAGAGAGAGAGAGAGAGAGA